AGAUCUUUCAUAUAACAACUUCAGUGUUGGAAACCAAGAGCCAAAAACAUGCUACCAGAAAAAUGUGAACUUGUUUGCAAGCUUCUCAAGGCAUAACUUAGGACCAGUGUCUUGUGACAGCAGCAAUAGAAACUGUACCAAAAGUAAGUUAACAAAAUGUGUAACUUCUGUAAACUAAAUUGUCUUACUAAUAUUGUAAUUCUCUUUGCCAACGUCUGCAACAACAUAAGUUAUCUUUCUUGUAUGGAUUCCUUACCUCCACCAUCAACAACAGAAAAGAAA